UGAAGCGGCAAAAGCUCAAAUUUGAAAUCUGGCUCUUUCAGAGUCCGAGUUGUAAUUUGAAGAAGGUAUCUUUGGGUCUGGCUCUUGUCUAUGUUUCUUGGAACAGAACGUCACAGAGGGUGAGAAUCCCGUGCGAUGAGAUGAUCCAGGCCUAUGUAAAGUUCCUUCGAAGAGUCGAGUUGUUUGGGAAUGCAGCUCUAAGUGGGUGGUAAAUUCCAUCUAAAGCUAAAUAUUGGCGAGAGACCGAUAGCGAACAAGUACAGUGAUGGAAAGAUGAAAAGAACUUUGAAAAGAGAGUGAAAAAGUACGUGAAAUUGUUGAAAGGGAAGGGCUUGAGAUCAGACUUGGUAUUUUGUAUGUUACUUCUUCGGGGGUGGCCUCUACAGUUUAUCGGGCCAGCAUCAGUUUGGGCGGUAGGAGAAUUGCGUUGGAAUGUGGCACGGCUUCGGUUGUGUGUUAUAGCCUUCGUCGAUACUGCCAGCCUAGACUGAGGACUGCGGUUUAUACCUAGGAUGUUGGCAUAAUGAUCUUAAGUCGCCCGUCUUGAACCACGGACCCAA
rnacentral:rRNA from 1 species